CGCCUAACAGCUAGCUCACCCUAAUAAAACCAACACAACCAUAUUAAUAACCCCUCAUACACUACACCUUAAAAAUAAACCAUUCUCCCCUCCAAGUACGGGCGACGGAAAAGAAAACAGAAGCGAUAGAGAAAGUACCGCAAGGGAAAGCUGAAAGAGAAAUGAAACAACCCAAUAAAGCCUAAAAAAGCAGAGAUAUGACCUCGUACCUUUUGCAUCAUGAUUUAGCCAGAACCUCUUAAGCAAAAAGAAUUUUAGUUUAAUACCCCGAAACUAGGUGAGCUACUCCAAGACAGCCUAAUCAUAGGGCACACCCGUCUCUGUGGCAAAAGAGUGGGAAGAGCUUCGAGUAGGGGUGACAGACCUACCGAACCUAGUCAUAGCUGGUUGCCUGGAAAAUGAAUAGAAGUUCAGCCUCUCAAAUUCUUCCCUCAAAAAUCGCAUUACAUAAUUCAACUCUGAGACCAAAAGAAGUUAAGGGAGUUAGUCAAAGGGGGUACAGCCCCUUUGAAACAAGACACAACUUUCUCAGCAGGAUAAAGAUCAUAAUCCCCAUAAAGGUAGAAUGUCCCAGUGGGCCUAAAAGCAGCCACCACAAUAGAAAGCGUCAAAGCUCAAACACAACCUAUCUCCCAAAAAUACUGAUAAUACAUCUUAAACCCCUAAGCCUACCAGGCUGUCCCAUGCCCCCAUGGGAGCAAUAAUGCUAAUAUGAGUAAUAAGAGAACACCUGAUUCUCUCCCUGCAUACGUGUAAAUCGGAUCGGACGCCCCCACCGAGUAUUAACGGCCCCAAACGAAGAGGGCACUGUGUCGAAAAUAAGAGACAAGAAAACCACCCAUAGCACCACCGUUAACCCUACACAGGUAUGCCCC
rnacentral:rRNA from 1 species